rnacentral:rRNA from 1 species
UACAGAGACUGCAAGCGUUUAUUCGGAUUCACUGGGCGUAAAGGGUGCGCAGGCGGCCAAGUGUGUCAGGUGUGAAAUCCCGAGGCUUAACCUCGGAACUGCGCCUGAAACUACUUGGCUAGAGUACUGGAGAGGGUAACGGAAUUCACGGUGUAGCAGUGAAAUGCGUAGAUAUCGUGAGGAACACCAGAGGCGAAGGCGGUUACCUGGACAGUUACUGACGCUCAGGCACGAAAGCGUGGGGGAGCAAAAGGG